GGGUCGAUUGACAGAAAAUCAAAUAUUUGAAGCCUGGACAACCAGCAUAGGACGGACGGUUUCAUCUUAAUCUUUUUUCGGGUAAGCACAGCUUUACAUUAAUUAGCAUGAUAAAUUUUUCUCAGUGUAUGUUAAAAUUUAGGGCUGGAAAUACGCUAUGCAACAGGUUAAUUAAUUUAGGGGUGAGUGAUCAAUUCUUGAGAUUCAUCAAGCCAU
rnacentral:lncRNA from 1 species